CGUAAAAUCCCAGGACCGGAGAGGAGACCCCCAGAGAUUGAAAAAAAAAAAAAAAAGAGCCUGAUCACCUCUGCAUAUGGUAAAUGAGUAACUUACCUAUAUUUUCCAUUCUUUGGAAUUGGUCUGCACUCUGGGCCUUCACUCGGCUUCCUGUGGUUAACGUCAGACAGGUAUAUAGUAUGCCCACAUGUCCCCUUUUAUAUAGAACCUGUCACUUGUCUAUCUACAGCCUGAGUCCUGAGUGUGAGUUUUAUGUGUGAAAGUGUCUGUUUGAGAAUCUGUUUUACUUUCUUGUGAUUAUUGAAUUCAGGGUGCAAAUAUACCUGGAGUUUUUAGGCCAGAUUAUAUUAAUAUUUUAAUAUUUUAAUAUUAAUUCUUGGCGUUUCUUUUGUUGUUUUUAAGUUCAGUUUGGAAAAAAAAGCUGGCGGGUUUUGUUUUUUGUCCGAUUUAUAUUAAAAUUAGAUCGUGGCGGUUCUUUUGUUGUUUUUAAGUUCAGUUUGGAAAAAAAAGCUGGCGGGUUUUGUUUUUUGUCCGAUUUAUAUUAAAAUUAGAUCGUGGCGGUUCUUUUGUUGUUUUUAAGUUCAGUUUGAAAAAAAAAAAAAGCUGGCGGAUUAUUUAGAUCAGGAUAGAAAAUAUUCUGGUGCAUUUGUUUGUUGAAAUAAUAAAAACAACGAACAAAGAGUUAAGUUGUUGUAUGU